GUGGGGAAUCUUGCGCAAUGGACGAAAGUCUGACGCAGCCACGCCGCGUGAGUGAAGAAGGCCUUCGGGUUGUAAAGCUCUGUCAAUGGGGACAAAAACCAUUAUGGUUAAUAGCCAUAGUGCUUGAUGGUACCCAUGGAGGAAGCACCGGCUAACUUCGUGCCAGCAGCCGCGGUAAUACGAAGGGUGCAAGCGUUGCUCGGAAUUAUUGGGCGUAAAGGGUAGGUAGGUGGUCAUACAAGUCUGGAGUGAAAUCCCCGAGCUUAACUUGGGACGUGCUUUGGAAACUGUAUGACUAGAGUAUCGGAGAGGUUCGUGGAAUUCCCGGUGUAGCGGUGAAAUGCGUAGAGAUCGGGAGGAACAUCAGAGGCGAAGGCGACGAACUGGACGGUAACUGACACUCAACUACGAAAGCGUGGGUAGCAAACAGGAUUAGAAACCCGAGUAGUCC
rnacentral:rRNA from 1 species